ACGCUAGCGGGAGGCUUAUACAUGCAAGUCGAGCGGNUACAGUGGAGAACUUCGGUGAUCCAGCUGACGAGUGGCGCACGGGUGAGUAACGCGUACGCAACCUGCCUUCAAGAGCGGGAUAGCCCCGGGAAACUGGGAUUNAUACCGCAUAGCAUUAACGAUUCACCUGGAUUGGUUAUUAAAGCUAAGGCGCUUGAAGAUGGGCGUGCGUGCUAUUAGCUAGUUGGUGAGGUAACGGCUCACCAAGGCGACGAUAGCUAGGGGGCGUGAGAGCGUGACCCCCCACACGGGUACUGAGACACGGACCCGACUCCUACGGGAGGCAGCAGUAAGGAAUAUUGGGCAAUGGAGGCAACUCUGACCCAGCUAUCCCGCGUGCAGGAUGACGGCCCUACGGGUUGUAAACUGCUUUUACAUGGGAAGAAACGGACCUAUUGAUAGGUUUUUGACGGUACCAUGAGAAUAAGCACCGGCUAACUCCGUGCCAGCAGCCGCGGUAAUACGGAGGGUGCAAGCGUUAUCCGGAAUCACUGGGUUUAAAGGGAGCGUAGGCGGCGCAGUAAGUCAGGGGUGAAAGCUCGGAGCUCAACUUCGGAAUUGCCUUUGAUACUGCUGUGCUUGAAUGAGGUUGAGGUUGGCGGAAUGUGACAUGUAGCGGUGAAAUGCAUAGAUAUGUCAUAGAACACCAAUUGCGAAGGCAGCUGACUGGACCUACAUUGACGCUGAUGCACGAAAGCGUGGGGAGCGAACAGGA
rnacentral:rRNA from 1 species